ACACGUAGGGGGCAAGCGUUGUUCGGAAUUAUUGGGCGUAAAGGGCAUGUAGGCGGUUUUCGUAAGCCUGGUGUGAAAUCCUGCAGCUUAACUGUAGAAUUGCAUUGGGUACUGCGAGACUUGAAUCAUAGAGGGGAAACUAGAAUUCCAGGUGUAGGGGUGGAAUCUGUAGAUAUCUGGAAGAAUACCGGUGGCGAAGGCGGGUUUCUAGCUAAUGAUUGACGCUGAGGUGCGAAAGUGCGGGGAGC
rnacentral:rRNA from 1 species